GACAGAGGAUGCAAGCGUUAUCCGGAAUGAUUGGGCGUAAAGCGUCUGUAGGUGGCUUUUUAAGUCCGCCGUCAAAUCCCAGGGCUCAACCCUGGACAGGCGGUGGAAACUACCAAGCUGGAGUACGGUAGGGGCAGAGGGAAUUUCCGGUGGAGCGGUGAAAUGCGUAGAGAUCGGAAAGAACACCAACGGCGAAGGCAGGUCUCUGGGCAUUAACUGACGCUGAGGAGCGAAAGCAUGGGGAGCGAACAGG
rnacentral:rRNA from 1 species